UACGUAGGGUGCGAGCGUUAAUCGGAAUUACUGGGCGUAAAGCGUGCGCAGGCGGUCUGUUAAGACCGAUGUGAAAUCCCCGGGCUUAACCUGGGAACUGCAUUGGUGACUGGCAGGCUUUGAGUGUGGCAGAGGGAGGUAGAAUUCCACGUGUAGCAGUGAAAUGCGUAGAGAUGUGGAGGAAUACCGAUGACGAAGGCAGCCUCCUGGGCCAACACUGACGCUCAUGCACGAAAGCGUGGGGAGCAAACAGG
rnacentral:rRNA from 1 species